rfam:Bordetella genomosp. 13 strain AT7206, complete genome.
CCUGACGACCAUAGCAAGGCGGUCCCACCCCUUCCCAUCCCGAACAGGACCGUGAAACGCCUUAGCGCCGAUGAUAGUGGAUGUACAUCUGUGAAAGUAGGUCAUCGUCAGGC